GAUGAACGCUAGCUACAGGCUUAACACAUGCAAGUCGAGGGGUAACGAGAGGAAAGCUUGCUUUCCUUGUCGACGACCGGCGCACGGGUGAGUAACGCGUAUCCAACCUGCCCCCAACUAAGGAAUAACCUUGAGAAAGUAAGACUAAUACCUUAUAAUUUCCUCAGAUGUCAUCUGACGAGGAAUAAAGAUUUAUCGGUUGUGGAUGGGGAUGCGUCUGAUUAGCUUGUUGGCGGGGGAACGGCCCACCAAGGCAACGAUCAGUAGGGGAUCUGAGAGGGAGGUCCCCCACAUUGGAACUGAGACACGGUCCAAACUCCUACGGGAGGCAGCAGUGAGGAAUAUUGAUCAAUGGGCGGAAGCCUGAACCAGCCAAGUAGCGUGCAGGAUGACGGCCCUAUGGGUUGUGAACUGCUUUUAUACAGGAAUAAAGUUAGCCACGUGUGGUUAUUUGUAGGUACUGUAUGAAUAAGGACCGGCUAAUUCCGUGCCAGCCGCCGCAGUAA
rnacentral:rRNA from 1 species